AUACGUAGGGUGCGAGCGUUAAUCGGAAUUACUGGGCGUAAAGCGUGCGCAGGCGGUUAUGUAAGACAGAUGUGAAAUCCCCGGGCUCAACCUGGGAACUGCAUUUGUGACUGCAUGGCUAGAGUACGGUAGAGGGGGAUGGAAUUCCGCGUGUAGCAGUGAAAUGCGUAGAUAUGCGGAGGAACACCGAUGGCGAAGGCAAUCCCCUGGACCUGUACUGACGCUCAUGCACGAAAGCGUGGGGAGCAAACAGGAUUAGAUACCCUGGUAGUCCACGCCCUAAACGAUGUCAACUGGUUGUUGGGUCUUCACUGACUCAGUAACGAAGCUAACGCGUGAAGUUGACCGCCUGGGGAGUACGGCCGCAAGGUUGAA
rnacentral:rRNA from 1 species